GCCCAGCUAGCUCAGUUGGUAAGAGUAUGAGACUCUUAAUCUCAGGGCCGUGGGUUCAAGCCCCACAUUGGGCG